UACGUAGGGGGGCAAGCGUUGUCCGGAUUCAUUGGGCGUAAAGGGUGCGUAGGCGGCGCGGUAAGUCGGGUGUGAAAUCUCGGAGCUUAACUCCGAAACUGCAUUCGAUACUGCCGUGCUUGAGGACUGGAGAGGAGACUGGAAUUACGGUGUAGCGGUGAAAUGCGUAGAUAUCGUAAGGAAGACCAGUGGCGAAGGCGGGUCUCUGGACAGUUCCUGACACUGAGACACGAAGGCCAGGGGAGCAAACGGG
rnacentral:rRNA from 1 species